rnacentral:rRNA from 2 species
GAUCGCUCUGACCCGGUGUCUCUCCUCGUGGGAGGCUGCUGUGUGUCGGAACGUAUCUUUCAUCCUUUCUGGAAAGCCUUGCGUACUGUUUACUCAGUUGCGCUUGUUUUGCGUUCCAGAUCUUUUACUUUGAAAAAAUUAGAGUGUUUAAAGCAGGCUUACGCCGUGAAUACAUUAGCAUGGAAUAAUAAUAUAGGACUUUGGUUCUAUUUUGUUGGUUUCUAGGACUAAAGUAAUGAUUGAUAGGGAUAGUUGGGGGUGCUAGUAUUCAGAGGCCAGAGGUGAAAUUCUUGGAUUCUCUGAAGACUAACUACUGCGAAAGCAUU